GACGAACGCUGGCGGCGUGCCUAAUACAUGCAAGUCGAGCGGAAGUUGGAGAGCUUGCUCUUCAACUUUAGCGGCGGACGGGUGAGUAACACGUGGGCAACCUGCCCUGCAGAUCGGGAUAACUCCGGGAAACCGGUGCUAAUACCGAAUAGUUUUCGCCACCUCCUGGUGGCGUACGGAAAGACGGUUUCGGCUGUCACUGCAGGAUGGGCCCGCGGCGCAUUAGCUAGUUGGUGGGGUAACGGCCCACCAAGGCGACGAGGCGUAGCCGACCUGAGAGGGUGAGCGGCGACACGGAGACUGAGACACGGCCAAGACUCCUACGGGAGGCAGCAGUAGGGAAUCUUCCGCAAUGGACGAAAGUCUGACGGAGCAACGCCGCGUGAGUGACGAAGGUUUUCGGAUCGUAAAACUCUGUUGUGAGGGAAGAACAAGUACCAACUAACUACUGGUACCUUGACGGUACCUCACCAGAAAGCCACGGCUAACUACGUGCCAGCAGCCGCCGUAA
rnacentral:rRNA from 1 species